CUUUGAUCUUGUGAUGCAGACAACAAAGACUGGGACUCGGGAUUCAGAAUCUUGUCUUAGAGAGCAGACUUGCCUUCCAUUGGGUGGGUACAGUGUCUGGUCAGCGCUACCACCAAUAAAUACCUCGUCGUCAAAGAAGGCAAAACCGAUGAUAUUGACUGUGGCUUCUAUGGAUGCGGCUUCCUUUUUUCGUGACGUAAGCAUUGGUGCAGAUUCACCUAUAUCUGGGUUGAUCUCAUUGCUAGCUGUGGUGGAUGCUCUUUCACGUGUUGAUGGCUUGGGGGACCUUGAUAAACAGCUUGG
rnacentral:misc_RNA from 1 species